UGCCUACAGCGGCCUUUCUCAAUAGCAAGGCUAUGCUCACUGAGUCUAUACAUAGUCAAAGCUGUCCUUAAGUUUGGGUCAGUCACAGUGGUCAGGUAUUCUGCCACUGUGUACUCUCUGUUUAGGGCCAAAUAGCAUUCUAGUUUGUUCAUUGUUUUGUUGUUAAUUCUUUCCAAUGUGUCAAGUAAUUAUCUUUUUGUUUUCUCAUGAUUUAGUUGGGUCUAAUUGUGUUGCUGUCCUGGGGCUCUGUGGGGUCUGUUUGUGUUUGUGAACAGAGCCCCAGGACCAGCUUGCUUAGGGGACUCUUCUCCAGGUUAAACUCUCUGUGGGUGAUGGCUUUUUUAUGGAAGGUUUGGGAAUCGCUUCCUUUUAGGUGGUUGUAGAAUUUAACAGCUUUUUUCUGGAUUUUGAUAAUUAGCGGGUAUCUGCCUAAUUCUGCUCUGCAUGCAUUAUUUGGUGUUUCAUGUUGUACACAGAGGAUAUUUUUGCACAAUUCUGCAUGCAGAGUCUCAAUUUGGUGUUUGUCCCAUUUUGUGAAUUAUUGGUUGGUGAGCGGACCCCAGACCUCACAACCAUAGGUUCCUGGCACAGUGCUGUUCUCUACCGAGGUUCCUGGCACAGUGCUGUUCUCUACCGAGGUUCCUGGCACAGUGCUGUUCUCUACCGAGGUUCCUGGCACACUGCUGUUCUCUACCGAGGUUCCUGGCACACUGCUGUUCUCUACUGAGGUUCCUGGCACACUGCUGUUCUCUACAGAGGUUCCUGGCACAGUGCUGUUCUCUACAGAGGUUCCUGGCACAGUGCUGUUCUCUACCGAGGUUCCUGGCACAGUGUUGUUCUCUACCGAGGUUCCUGGCACAGUGCUGUUCUCUACCGAGGUUCCUGGCACAGUGCUGUUCUCUACAGAUGUUCCUGGCACAGUGCUGUUCUCUACCGAGGUUCCUGGCACAGUGCUGUUCUCUACCGAGGUUCCUGGCACAGCGCUGUUCUCUACCGAGGUUCCUGGCACAGCGCUGUUCUCUACCGAGGUUCCUGGCACAGCGCUGUUCUCUACCGAGGUUCCUGGCACAGCGCUGUUCUCUACCGAGGUUCCUGGCACAGUGCUGUUCUCUACCGAGGUUCCUGGCACAGUGCUGUUCUCUACCGAGGUCCCUGGCACACAGACACCUCUAUCAUGGUCAUCAUAGGAGCCAUUGAAGGUAUCAGGGUAAUCAAUAAUAAAGAGA
rnacentral:lncRNA from 1 species